CCAAUAGCGUAUAUUAAAGUUGUUGCAGUUAAAAAGCUCGUAGUUGAAUUUCGGGAUCAAUAUAUCGGUCGUGCCAUUGGUACGUACUGGUAUCAUUGGUUUCUCCUUUCUGACGAACCAUGAUGUCAUUAAUUUGGUGUUAUGGGAAGUUAGGACUGUUACUUUGAAAAAAUUAGAGUGUUUAAAGCAGGCUUUAGCUUGAAUACAUUAGCAUGGAAUAAUGAAAUAGGACGUUCGAACCUAUUUUGUUGGUUUCUAGGAUCAACGUAAUGAUUAAUAGGGAUAGUUGGGGGCAUUAGUAUUCAAUUGUCAGAGGGGAAAUUCUUGGAUUUAUUGAAGACUAACUACUGCGAAAGCAUUUGCCAAGGCUGUUUUCAUUAAUCAAGAACGAAAGUUAGGGGAUCGAAGACGAUCAGAUACCGUCGUAGUCUUAACCAUAAACUAUGCCGACUAGGGAUCGGAUGAUGUUAAUUUUUUUAAUGACUCAUUCGGCGCCUUACG
rnacentral:rRNA from 1 species